GUUAUAACAAGGUGUCAGUGUGGAAACUGCUAAUCAGUGUAGAGGGAGAAAGAAGACAUCUUUUGCCAAGAAGUAAAUGUGGCCAUAAAUAAAAAUUUGGAGGAUGUUACAGCGGAACAGUUGCAGGUAGAAGCCAGAUGUAUUGUCCAGCAUCCAGGGUUUGAGGAAACUGAUGAAGGCUGACUCUUUCUGCAUUUGUUUUGUUACAAAACAUCACUACACAGUGCUUCCCAGAUCGAUUUUGAAGUAACACUUCCAACUGAGAACAGUAAAGACAAGGUAUUUAAGGUGACUGUUAAAUGGGUAGCACAAGUCAGCUUAUUUGCACUGGAACAAGCAUUAGAAGGAAAACACAAUCAAAUCCCUUUUGAGACCAUCCAGGCUCUUGAUGUGGUGUUAAG